UCCUCAUUUAUUACACUUAUCCCUAAAGUCAAUUGUCUGGUUGUUGUUACAGAUUUCAGGCAUAUUAGUCUUAUAGGUGCUCAGUAUAAGAUCAAUGCGAAUGUCAUGGCUUUAUGUCUGGCGAAGAAGAUUGGUUAUGUGGUCACCAGGGAGCAAUCUGCUUUUGUGAAGGGGCGUCAGAUUCUAGACGGUCCUUUGAUGGUUAAUAAAAUAGUUGAUUGGUGCAAGAAGAAAAAAAAAGAAAAUUAUUGAUUUUUAAAAUUGAUUUUGAAAAAGCAUAUGACUCUGUUGGUUGGAAUUUUUUAGAACAAGUGAUGGUGAUUCUUGGCUUUGGGGUCAAAUGAGUGCCUUGCGUCUGAGGUGCUUUGAAUUCGACAGAGGCUUUUGUGUUGAUUAAUGGUAUCCCUUCAUUGGAGUUUUAGAUUGAGAGAGGUCUUCGUCAAGGUUUGACUGAUGAUCAAGUUAGAUCGCUUGCGGCUUUUAUAGGAUGUCGUCUUGGAAAACUUUUGUUUCUCUAUCUCGGCCUUCUAGUGGGAUCUUCUAUGUCGUUCAUCCGGAAUUAGAGUCCUACUAUUCAGAAGUUCAACUCGGUGGAAGUUUAACAUGCUUUCUAUUUUAGGGAGUUCUACUUUGAUUACUUCAGUUUUGGGUUCGAUAGAUGGAAAUGGAAGAAAAAAAACUCAUUAGAUUUCUUGGAACUUGGUUAUUGCUUCUAAAGAAAAAGGUGGGAUUCAAAUUGGCAGUCUUGAUGCCCUAAAUUCUGCUUUGUUGUUAAAAUGGAGGUGGCAUUAUGUUGUUGAGAUAGAUGCGUUUUGGGCUACUUUUAUAUCUGAUAUCUGUGGGAAAAUAGUAAAGAUGCAUUUGAUGUGACUUAUGGUUGAAGUGGUGGUGUUUGGGCUCCGAUAGUUGGUACUAUUAAUACCAUGCAUGAGAAAGGUAUCGUUCCUCUUUCUUCUUUGAAAAAACAGGUUGGCAAGGGUAGGAAUACAAGUUUUUGUUUUGAUAUUUGUCUUGGUGAGAUACCCUUAAAGAUGUGAUUCCAAAGACUUUUUCAAUUGGAAUCAGUUAAAAAUAGUUCGGUUCAUGAUCGUUUAGGGGCCGAUUGUAAUUGGAAUUGGAUUCGCCAAAUAACCGGUGGAGUUCUUAAGUCUCAGUUUGAGGAGUUAAAAUGGCUCAUUGGAAAAUUUCAAAUCUCUAAUGAUUCUGAUUGUUGGAAAUGGAAUUUGUAGAAUAUAGAAGAUUUUGCGGUUUGUACGACGAGAAGAUUUAUUGUUAAUGUUAUACUUCCGGAUAAUGCUAUUCCUACUAGAUGGAACUGAUUUCUUCCCAAAAAAGUUAAUAUUUUCUUUUUUGGUCUGCUCUUCUUGACACCAGAUGGAAGUUGAGUCACAAAGGGGUUGAAGUUCAGUUUUAUUGUGUCUGGUUUGUUCAGUAGAAAUCAAAAGUCUUGACCAUCUGUUUAUUUCUUGUGAGUUAGGGACCCACAUAUGUAGGAAAGUUUUUAUUUGGUGUGAUUUGGUUAAGCCAUACAUGCUUGCUUGGAUUGAUGGUAUGUCAGGUGGGGGCUAAGAAACAUCAUGCUAUGGAGUCUAUUCUUGUUGUUAGGCUUUGGUUAAUUUGGAAAUAUAAGAAUGGUUUGAUUUUUUAAGAGGUGACUCCGAGAAGAGAUGAGAUUUUUGAUAAUUUAGUUGAUUGUUCGUGGAAUUGGUUUAUCUUCAAAAAUACAAAAGGUUGUCAAACCAUUUUCUAGCUAUUUCUGGGUAAUUUCCUAGCUCCCGCUAGUUUUUUAU